GACGAACGCUGGCGGCGCGCUUAACACAUGCAAGUCGAGCGAAGCGGCGGACGGGUGAGUAACACGUGAGUAACCUGCAUAAGACAUUGGGAUAGCCUCGGGAAACCGGGAUUAAUACCAAAGGGUCUAAGAUGGACUAGCGUCCCAUUAGCUAGUUGGUGGGUAACGGCCCACCAAGGCGACGAUGGGUAGCCGGCCUGGGAGUGUGAACGGCCACUUUUGAACUGAGAAACGGUCCAAACUCUACGGGAGGCAGCAGUGGGUAAUGUUGCACUAUUGAGGGACCUCUGAUGUAGCGCCGCCGCGUGAACGAAGAAGUCUUUCGAGUCGUAAAGUUCUUUUAUAUGGGAAGCGGUACCAUAAGAAAAAGCCCCGGCUAACUACGUGCCAGCAGCCGCGGUAAUAC
rnacentral:rRNA from 1 species